GUACUUUUUUUGGACUGAACCAUCAUUGCUAACCACUAUAGAGGUUAUGUUUUUUGAUUUGCCCUUUAAUUAGUCUCCUGUCUUACUGUAAAGUUUACAAUUUAUAUGAAAUUAAUCUGUUUCUAUACAUUAAGAAACAGAUAAACAUUGUUUUAAGGAAAUCUUCUUUGUGUCUGCAGAUUGAACCUGCUUACAAAAACUCAUUCCCUUCUUCCUUUGUCUCCUUGGCCGUUGUGAGCUUCAGGCGGGGAUCAGUCGUCAACACCAUAGAACUUCAGUUUGUAAACUCAUCUGUUCCAAAUGACACUGAGAUUAGAAGUGUUUUGAUCAGUCAAGCCUCAAACGUGACAGGCUUUGACACUGAAAUGACCUCCAUCAGUGACAUUGCUCCAACAACUACCACAGUGACUCCUACAACAACAUCUCCUCCCACAACUACCACCACAGCUACAACAACUACCAGAAUAGUACCCACAACAACAUCUGCUCCAACAACUAACACCACAGCUGCAACAACUACCACAGUAGUACCACAACAACAUCUGCUCCAACAACCACCACAGUAGUACCCAGAACAACAACAUCUCCUCCCACAACUACCACCACAGCUACAACAACUACUACAGUGGUACCCACAACAACAACAUCUGCUGCAACAACUACCACAGUAGUACCCACAACAACAUCUGCUCCAACAACUACCACAGUACUACCCACAACAACAUCUGCUCCAACAACUACCACCACAGCUCCAACAACAACAUCUGCUCCAACAACUACCACCACAGCUGCAGCAACUACCACAGUAGUACCCACAACAACAACAUUUGCUCCAACAACUACCACAGCACCUCCAAAAACCGCUACUACUCCUCUAAGUAGUCCCACAUCUGCUCUAACAAUCACAACAGCAGGAACACCGACCACAUCUGUAGCCACAACCACCAGACCUCUGACAAUUAGAUAUGUUGUUUUCAAAUCCAUUCAAGGCAUUUUUACAGCAGACUUGUUGAAUUCAUCAUCUAAAGCUUUUAAAAAUCGAUCUUCAUCAAUAAAGAAACAGAUUGAACCUGCUUACAAAAACACGUUCCGUU
rnacentral:lncRNA from 1 species